UAGCUGAUUGCCUUCGGAAUAAAUUUUGUUAGGCGGCGACGCGGACACCUUUGCUCCGUGGUGAUUGGCUCGCGGCUGGGGCCUCGCGUUUGUCCAAUAUGGCGGCGCCCAGUGGCGGUGUGAACUGUGAGGAGUUCGCCGAGUUCCAGGAAUUACUCAAGGUGAUGAGGACGAUUGAUGACAGAAUAGUACAUGAAUUAAACACUACGGUUCCAACAGCUUCCUUUGCAGGGAAAAUUGAUGCAAGCCAAACCUGUAAACAACUUUAUGAGUCUUUGAAGGAGGCUCAUGCCAGCAGGGACAGAGUCAUAAAAAAUUGUAUAGCUCAGACCUCAUCAGUAGUAAAACACCUCCGAGAAGAGAGAGAAAAGAAUUUGGAUGAUUUAACGUUAUUAAAGCAACUUAGGAAAGAACAGACAAAGUUGAAAUGGAUGCAGUCAGAACUGAAUGUUGAAGAAGUUGUAAAUGACAGGAGCUGGAAGGUGUUUAAUGAACGCUGCCGAAUUCACUUCAAGCCUCCAAAGAAUGAAUAAAAAGAUACUUUUUUUUAAAUAAAGGACCGGGACAUCUCAUAAGAGCUAAGCAUGACAGACAUCAACAAGUAAUCUCUGUACCCAACGUGGGGCUCAAACUUAAAACCCCAAGAUCAAGAGCCGCAUGCUCUACCAACUGAGCCAACCAGGUUCCACACCCAGCAUGGAACCCAGUGUGGGGCCUGAGCUCACAAGCCUAAGAUCAAGACCUGAGCUGAGAUCAAGAGUUGGAUGCUCAACCAGCUGAGCCACCCAGAUUCACCCACAGUGUAACCUUUUAAAAGCAUUUAUUCUGCGUUUGGAACAGGACAUCAGCCUUUGCAUACAUUAUUAGAAGCAGCACAGCCAGUAGUUAAGCAUCAGACCUCCUGGGUUCAAACCCUGGCUCUGCUCCUAUAACUGUAUGACCUUUGUUAGUUACUCCAUCUCCCUGGGCCUCCAUUGUCUCAUCAGUAACACGAGGGAAAUGAUCAUACUUAUCUCAUAGAUUUGUUGAGAGGAUUAAAAGAGAGAACACACGCUCAGCUCUUAGAACAGAGCCUGGCACAUUGUAAGUGCUCAGUAAAUUUCUAGCUCAUUUACUCACACAACACCUGGCAAAGUAGGUUUUUAUCUGCAUUGUGCAGAUAAAGACACUGAGGCUCAGAGAAGAUGAGGGGCUGUGAUCACACAGGCACUGACUAAUGGAACAAGUUGAACAAGGGUUCAAACCCAGAACUGUCUGACACCAAAGCCUGCACCCCAUCUAUUCCACCACCUGGCUUUUGAUAGGUACUUGAAAAAGAACACAGAAGGUCCCAUCAACAGAAAGACCUUAAAUGUAGAGAGCAGUUCAGAGCAGAGAUCAACAACUAGACAGCCAGGAAGUAAUGAGGGAACUGGGGUCAGGAGUUGUAAUCCAGUAGGAGAAAUCUAACCAGGCAGGUGGUCUUAAGGGAUGAAAUUUUCAAUUUUUCUGAUGAGCUUUUUAAGAAAUACAUGAGCUGGUUAAUAUAUGAAAUUUAUGAACUUGGACUAAUUGUAAAUUAUUAAAACAAUGAUCCCAAUUUUGAUAGAAUGUUUCUUCUCUUUGAACAAAAUCAUUUUUAACUGGAAAAAAGUUCUUUUUCAGCUGUGAAGAAAGUAGAUUGAGAAGGGAGGAAAUAAUGUCAUUGCUUUCUGAGGAUGAGGUGACAUCUCAUUCAUGUGGGCCACCCCAGGACCUGGCAUAUACUAGGAGCUCAAAUUUGAUAGGAGUGGGCUGAUUGAUUUACAUGACCCAGUGUUGUAAUUUUCCUAUGCUGAGCUGGUUAGGACCUGUUAUUUUAUUUUUUUGCUGAAAACAUUUUUUAAACAUUUUAUAUCUUAAGUAGUUAAUUGUUAAAGAGAAAUAAGCCAGACUGUGCCUUGGUCAAAUGGUUUUGUAAAGAUCCAAGUACAUACA